CCUACGGGAGGCUGCAGUGGGGAAUAUUGGACAAUGGGCGAAAGCCUGAUCCAGCCAUGCCGCGUGUGUGAAGAAGGCCUUCGGGUUGUAAAGCACUUUCAGUGGGGAAGAAAGCCUUGGGGCUAAUACCCUCUAGGAAGGACAUCACCCACAGAAGAAGCACCGGCUAACUCCGUGCCAGCAGCCGCGGUAAUACGGAGGGUGCGAGCGUUAAUCGGAAUUACUGGGCGUAAAGCGCGCGUAGGCGGUCUGAUAAGCCGGUUGUGAAAGCCCCGGGCUCAACCUGGGAACGGCAUCCGGAACUGUCAGGCUAGAGUGCAGGAGAGGAAGGUAGAAUUCCCGGUGUAGCGGUGAAAUGCGUAGAGAUCGGGAGGAAUACCAGUGGCGAAGGCGGCCUUCUGGACUGACACUGACGCUGAGGUGCAAAAGCGUGGGUAGAAAACAGGAUUAGAUACCCUAGUAGUC
rnacentral:rRNA from 1 species